GUGGGGAAUAUUGGGCAAUGGGGGAAACCCUGACCCAGCGACGCCGCGUGAGGGAAGACGGCCUUCGGGUUGUAAACCUCUUUUGUACGGGAAGAAGGAAGUGACGGUACUGUACGAAUAAGUCCCGGCUAACUACGUGCCAGCAGCCGCGGUAAUACGUAGGGGACGAGCGUUGUCCGGAAUUACUGGGCGUAAAGGGCGCGCAGGCUGUGCUGCAAGUCAGCUGUGAAAUGUCUGGGCUUAACCCGGGCAUGCGGUUGAGACUGCAGUGCUGGAGUGCUGUAGAGGCAAGUGGAAUUCCCAGUGUAGCGGUGAAAUGCGUAGAUAUUGGGAAGAACACCGGUGGCGAAGGCGACUUGCUGGGCAGCAACUGACGCUGAGGCGCGAAAGCCAGGGGAGCAAACGGGAUUAGAUACCCCAGUAGUCC
rnacentral:rRNA from 1 species